UACGAAGGGUGCAAGCGUUACUCGGAAUUACUGGGCGUAAAGCGUGCGUAGGCGGUUUGUUAAGUCCGUUGUGAAAGCCCUGGGCUCAACCUGGGAAUUGCAGUGGAUACUGGCAAGCUAGAGUACGGUAGAGGAUGGUGGAAUUCCCGGUGUAGCGGUGAAAUGCGUAGAGAUCGGGAGGAACACCCGUGGCGAAGGCGGCCAUCUGGACCAGUACUGACGCUGAGGCACGAAAGCGUGGGUAGCAAACAGGG
rnacentral:rRNA from 1 species